rnacentral:rRNA from 1 species
UGUGGUUCAAUUCGACGCAACGCGAAGAACCUUACCUGGGCUCGAAAUGCAGGAGACCGGGGUAGAAAUAUCCUUUUCUCGCAAGAGACUGCUGUAUAGGUGCUGCAUGGCUGUCGUCAGCUCGUGUCGUGAGAUGUUGGGUUAAGUCCCGCAACGAGCGCAACCCUCAUCCCUAGUUGCCACCGGGUAAUGCCGAGCACUCUAGUGAAACCGCCCCGGAUAACGGGGAGGAAGGUGGGGAUGACGUCAAGUCCUCAUGGCCUUUAUGUCCAGGGCUACACACGUGCUACAAUGGUCGGUACAAACCGUCGCAAAGCUGCAAAGCCCAGCUAAUCGGAAAAAACCGGCCUCAGUUCGGAUUGGAGUCUGCAACUCGACUCCAUGAAGCUGGAAUCGCUAGUAAUCGCAGAUCAGAACGCUGCGGUGAAUACGUUCCCGGGCCUUGU